rnacentral:lncRNA from 1 species
GGCGCAACUUGAUGUGACAAAGUUUAUAGAUUUGUGUGCUCUUCUUGAAGGUCCUUGCUUAUAGUUCAUCUAAUUCUUGCCAUCCAUAUAGGGCCAGUAGCUGGCUAUCUAAUCUAAUCUGCAACAAUAAUUUUCUUAUUGGCUGCCAAAGAUGCAAGAUUAAGUGUAGAUUAAAGGAUUCCAUGCCAAUGCAAUUAUCUUUCCAUAUCUUAUGUUUGAACCACUCCUGAACUGAAAUCUGAUUUUGCUAAGGAGCCACUUUUCUGUACUCAUGAUUCCUUUCCAAACUUGAGAUGCACGGGCGAUUCAAUAAGGGAUGUCGCUUCAUUCCUUCUUCUGUGGUUGUAGUUCUGUCAGAUUAUUUCUAUCUAUGGAUUGGUGUCAAAAUUAUAGAAUCUCUACGAACUCUCAUAUCAUGGCACUUUAUUAGCAAGCUGCAUAAUUUUGGGUUUUGACCCUUAAUCUACCUUGAUUUUCCUUUGCAGACUUGGAUCUACUUUACCAAGAAUAAACCUUGAUUAACUUUCUCAGUGCCAAUCUGCAUGAAUGCUCUUCUUAGGCUGUCCAAUUUCUUGAUAACCUAUUUAGGAAUGUACCAAACAUGCAUCAAUUUAGUAGGGACGAGAUGAUAGGACUGCUUUCGCAAAUAGUCGUUCAACAAGAGAUAAAAAUCUCCUUUUCCAACAUGCUAACCUUUCUUCAAAUUUUUCAAUGAAAAAAGCUUAGUCUCCUCAUUGAGUCAGGAACAAUUCAGUUAGAUUCCCAAAUAAGUGACUGGCAGGGACAUCUGGACUCAAUUAAGGAAAGUAGGACAUCUGUCUCCUUUUUGAAUGGCUAUUCUACUUUUAUUAAAAUUGAUUUUUGAGUCCAAUAAUAAGCUUGACACCGCAGAGGAUGAUCUUGAUAGUUAAGACUAGAGGUUUUUAGUUAUUGCAUGAAAAAAAAGCAGCAUUGGCAUAGCAGAUGCUGAAAAUCUAUGAGACUUGUGGAUCUUGAUUUGGACAGAAUCUUGCUAACAACAUCUCUCGUGGGCUUCUCAAGAGCUAACAAGUAUAAGUGUUUUAUUGUGAGUUUUCAAUUUGUUGAAAGGAAAAAUGGCAGAAGGGGGGACAAUAAUUUAAUGAAAAAAGGAAGAAAAUAUCUGCCCUGCUCUUGGAUGAGGGUUUAAGUCUACAUUCUAUGAAGCCUGAUACACAUCAUUGACCCUUUUCCUUUUAGUUUAAGCUUUUGUGGUCAAUUUGUUGCUCAACAUGGUAUCAGACCUCAUGUUUCCUAGAGGUCAUGUGUUUGAAUCUCAUUUAGUUUAGUUGUUUAUUUAAUCACACCCAAUUAUCUGUUACAUUAAUUCUAGUCUGUCUUGAUUUAGUUGUCCCUCUAUGUGUGGUCUGGCCCGCAUGUGAUGUGAGAUGCUAAGCCUGAUAUACAUAGUUGACCCUCAUCAGCUUAAGCUUUUCAGGGCUGGUGGUUAGUUAACACAUCUCACCACCACCCUUUUCCUUUUUUUGUCUUUUUAUUUUUUAUGAUAGCCCAAGACGGUUUAAACCUAGAUAGGAAAAGGAUUUCAUUGCUGAUAAGCAAAUGAGAUGAAUUUUAGAAUGUCUUAAAUUAUUAGAUGACAGCAGCCGACAGAAAUGCAUCCCCUUAGAAUUUUUUUCCCUUUUCUGUUAUAAAUUUUCUUAACAUGUGGUGCUUUUUUCCUCUUUAAGAAACAUUAUGCUUGUUUUUAAUUGUAAAAGGCCUGGACUGCCUCUCUGGGAGUCACAACCCACCUCCCCCUAAAAUUCCCCAUCCAAGAGUACCAUACAAACAUACAUGCAUAGAUACAUGCCUUCAAGAAUGCGUAUAUACACACCAUCUGACUUUACAAGUCUCCACCCUCUACACAUCUAUAGAAACAUCAACCUUUACUCCAUACACUAAUUUUGCUCCCUUCUUGCUCUGUCUAUAAGGGAGAGAAACAAGACAAGUGCACUAGCUAAUGGUGGAAAUCUAUUUAUCAAGUUAUUUCAACAAUAGUAAAAAAAAAAAAUUAAUUAAAUGGGAGAUCGCAACCAUACUUGCUUCCUUGCACAUGGCCCAGAUCUAUUUUAAUGUAAUGUUACAUAUUAAUCAAGAUACAAAUAAUCAUGUCGUGUUACACUACAUUAUAAUUCUUGUCUAUAGAGGCAACAAUUGAUCUCCAGAUGGUAAUUUUGUAUUAUAUAGUCGGAAGAGUUUCCUUGAAUUGGCUAUUAUUGGAACAUUCACACCCUACCAACCCAGAUCCAUCUCAUUUAAAUAAAAAGAAUUCUUUAAUUUUCUCUAGUUAUUUCAGAUGCUUUUAUUAUGGUUAAAAUGGACACCUGCUUACCAUAUUCAUGUGAAAUUUGUGAUUUUGAACUAAUAUUCUGGUAUUAAUUAUAGAAGAAGGAGAAUAGUAAACGGCGGAAGCAAGAAGAAUAUUAUGCAGGAAAGAAAGUCAAAGACAGAAAGGUAACAUUCUUAUCCGCUCCAAUGAACUCCAUUUUAAUUAUAUAUGUUUUCCUAUACAAUAUUCUGUUUCUAUCAAUGGCCAUUUUUUAGUUAUAUUUUUCAAGUAUGCAGCCUCAAGAGAUCAUGAUAUCAAAUUCUUGCUUGUUUGGUUUAACUGUCCGUUUUACUUUAAUGUGGAGGGUUUAUUAUUUCAUUUUAUGUUUUAACAAGUUGCAUGCUUCUAUCUUGUUGAUUAAGAAGAAUCCAUCAGAAAAAUAUGUUUAAUUAUCAGUCAAAGGAAAGAAUUUGCAUAUAUGCAAUUCCUUUAGACUGGAGAUAUGGUUUUCUUUGUUGGCACAUCUAACAUUUGUAGUCUGCUGUUAUAAUUCAUGGAUCCAGUAUGUAAAUGAUGAGUGCAUUUUUCAGGAAAAGAUGGUGGAUUGUUCUGCAAGAGCUAAUAUACAUCCCAUUCAACCUGAAAAUGCAGCUGUCUAUUCUUUUAUGGUGAAUCAUGUGAACCACAAUGAUCAAUUUUCUUGUGAAGGUUGGUUGUUCAUAUCCUUGAAAUGCUUAAUCUGAGCUGAUAAUUUACCAAGUUAACUUUCAUUGGAUAAUCAAUAUUUAUCUCAAGUCUCAACUCUUUAGUUAAAUGUACAUUAUUUCUUUGUUAUUCGUAUAAAUUUUUUCUUGAACUUCUUAUGCUUAUAUGGUUUUCAUUCAUAAUACACAUCAAAAUUGGAUAAGGAUAUUUCUAUUUUGUUAACUGGAUGAUAUUAUUCUUAUCUUUUUCUUGUAAUUAAGAAGAAAUGCUGUUACUAGUGUCAUAUAUGAACAAAUAAGACUGUAACAACUUGGAAUUUUGAUAAACUGCAUAAAUAAUACAGCUAUUCAGUAGGUAUGAAUGCAAACACUCUGUUGAACACAGGUUUUGUUAUCUUCACAUUGGUUAUGUAUGAACAAAUAAAACCUAAACAACUUGGAAUUUUGAUAAACUGCAUAAAUAAUACAGCUAUUCAGAAGGUAUGAAUGCAAACACUGUGUUGAACAUGGGUUUUGUUACUUUACAUUGGUUAUAUGGACAUCACAUAACAUCCAUGCUCUUUAUGUUCAGAAGGAAAGCUUUUAACCAUUUUCAAAUUCCUGAAUAAUAAUAUAUGGCAUCAUGAUAUGGUUUAUUUCAUAGUUUAAUCAUCUUAAUAUGAUUGGUUGUCAAUCUAAGCCCAACCUUUUAUGUUUCUUGUAUGGGCUAGGGACUUAAUCGGCAGUUUUGAACUACAGUGGAUAAAAUUAAGGAUAAUAUUAUAAAUCUGAAAGGGAUAAAUGAUGUUAAUGGCUAUUAAUUUGAUUAAAGGUUAAAAUGUUGUUGGUGUCGUGAGUACUUAUGCAUCACAGGUGUGACUAGGGGAAAAAAAAUAAGAAUUAUGUAUUAUAUGUAGAGAAUGUUGAACUCGGAUACAGUCACUUGCAUUUGAAGUCAUCCAAUCAGGCAAAAUCAGAAGAUAGGAGUCCAACAAUGAUGAUUCGAGCUAUGGAAUGUGAUCUACUAUCUCUAAAUGGCCUAUAGACCAAAAAUUAUAUAAUUUGAAGACCCCUAGCUUAUACAUUGAGUCAUUAAAAAUAUGCAUUCUAUCAUGUUAUUUAAAAUGACCAUAUUUGACAUGAUGCAUAUUCUAGGGGUCUCUAAAGUAUAUGAUUUUUAGUCUCUAAGCAAUUUGAGGUAGUAGAUCACAUUAGAAAGCUUGGAUCAUCAUUAUCAAAUCCAUAUUUUCUGAUUUCACAUGGCCAAGUUUGACUUCAAAUAUAGUUGACUGGAUGACACAUUAUAUGCUUCUUUCAUAAAAGAUUUAACAAUUCUAAAGUUAAUGUUGAGGCAUCCGAAUCAAAGAUGGUUAUGAUUACACUUAUAAAGCACCUAAGGAUAAAAAGUUAUAUUUGUUGGAGGUAUCUAACCUAUGCAUUACAUGGGUAAAAUGGAUGGUGCCCAUCGUACUAUUGUGCUAAAAUAAAUGAUAGGACAUUUUUCAAUUGAGAAUCACUUUAUUUAUCAUGAUCUAAACAUGUUAAACUAUGUAUAGAUUGAAAAUAGGUAAAUUUUGAUGCUUAGAUUGCAGCAAAAUAUGUCUCAUAUCAUUAAAACUGCCAAUUUGUAUCCAUUCGAUGCACAAAUAAUUUUUAUUUUCCAGACAUUUUUAGUGAUUAGAUGAUGAUCGAUAGUAUAUUUGAAGGGUCUAGCAUUGAUUUUUAUCAUUAAAUAUCUUACAAAAGAUUUAACAUAAAGUGUGUAGUCUAACUCAUAUCUAUAUCUAUAUAUAUGUGUGUGUGUGUGUGUGUGUUGUGUGUGCGCACGCGCACACACACACACAUACAUAUGCAUAUAUAGAUUUUUGAGCAUGGAUAAAAUGUUGCAUGUAAAUUUUGCCACAGAUGGAAUUGCAAAUUGACCUGCAAAUAUUAUAGGGUGGUACCAUUUUUAUUAUAAGAUGAUACCAGUUUCAGUCCAUGCGAACAUGAAGAGAAAAUUAAGAAUGUAGGGUCGGAUGAUCAGCUGUUGUAAGAAAGUAACUGAGUUCUUGAGUAGUGACCAGUAAUUAUUAAAGCCAUAACAGUAAAGAAACUGUGGUUGUGUGGUGAAGAACAAGAUGCAACAAGGCCAAAAAGGGCUUACUUUAAGGCACAACAGAAUAAUUGAGAUUGUCUUUGAAAGAUAAUGACAAAAAUGAAAUGCCAAAAUGGAUAGGAUACGUGCCUAGCUACUUGUGAUCCAUAUGCUAAGUAGGUAGCAGAGAAGAUGUGAAAGAAAUCUCAAAAUUAGCUAGUGCUUUGCAUUAAGAGUGAGAAUGUGUGUAUUUGGGGAAUCAUUGGGAGUUCUAAUUCACAUGAAAUAGGUUGUACCAGGUAAUCAAACCUGGGAUGAACUUCUUGCUGUGGUUUGCUAUAGUUGAAUAAUGUCCAGGCAUCGCAUGUGUAGCUCAUGCCUGACUUCCAUAGAUUGAGAAAUAAUUCAUUUCAUUAGCACCUCAGUCAAUCAUAUUCCCAACUUUCCAUCCCUCAGUGGUUUGAAAGUCAAAACACUUUAUAAGAUGGUGUGCUCAAAAUGAAUUCUGGAAAAAAUUAACAUUGGCUUUUUACUUCUCUCAAAAAGAACAUUGGCCUUUUACUUCAUCUUGAAGCUUGAUUAGAUUGGCAUUAUUUGUUUCAAAGGGCCUAUUUUUAUGGUGGUCUUUUUUUUCUCCCUUUGGGAUUCAGGCUGGCCCACUCCAAUGGUUCUUUGGGUAUUUAUAAAGAUAGGCCUAGCCCAGCCCAAUUUAGUUGGUUGUGUUGGCCCAACCCAUGAAUCCCAUGGGAUUUUGGGCCGAGACAUCCAAACAGGCCCUUAGAGCAUUUAGGAAGCUAAUGAGAAUAGAAAUAUGAAGUUUCUGAAGUUCAAGUUAUGGCUGUUUAUUUGUAGCUUAUUCGGUGUUCGAAUAAAGUUGGGGAAACAUGUUCUUGAUGUUCAGUUUUUACUAGAUUGUAGAGCUUUUGUUUCCUCUCUGCAGGUCGUGGUUGCAACCUUUUUGAAUAAAAGAAUUUUAAAGUCCUGUCCUAUUUUCCCCCUUUGUGCUGUUUAACAUAUUUGUUAUCUUUGUUUUGGAUAUUGAUGAAUAUCAACAGAACUGCUUUUGACGACUCCUGGUAGAAAAUUUUAGGCAUCUUCAUGUUGUUAUCCUUAGUAUGUUUUGCUAUAGUCAUUCCAUAGCAAACACGAAACUAUCUGGUCCAGUACUUGAUAAUUUGCUUAUAUCAAAGUUUUGCUUACUCAUAUAGGAUAGUUUGUUGUUGAUUUUCAUACAUUUGCUCUAAUCAUAAUAAUUUUUUGUUUGUUUAAGUAGCCCUUGUAAUUGAUGGUGCAACACAGCAUCUUCUAGACGAAAAUGCUCAACUUUUUAACAAAAUUGCAGCUAAUAUUGCCACAUUCCAGGUUGGUAUCUUAGAUCUUCCCCCUUCCCUUUACUGUUUGAGAUGUGGUCAUCAUAUUCAUUUUGCUACUAAGCUUGGAAUCAGCUACUGCCAGAACAAAGUGGCUGUAUCUCACUGUUUUCCCAGAUUUUUUAAAGUUGGUCUAAAAGGCUAAAACAAUGAUUUUGCACCUGAGAUUUUUCUGUUUGCAUUAUUCUAGAUGCAAGAACUAGAAGGUCUCAAAUUGAGAGUAAUGUCAUCACAGUUCUGAUUAGCAUUUUAACUUAUACCAUGGUUGUCCAAUACAGAACAAUAUCUCAUAGGCAUAAUUGAGACAUCAGUUUAACUUUAAUUGCUGGGAACAUGGAAUGCUGUACCGGGCCGAACCAUCCGGUACGGGAUGUGCCAAACUGUACCGACGGGGAACCGAGACGGUUCCGGCAUGCAAAACGGCACAUGCCGGUGCCGGGGAAGAAAAAGAGAGAAAGAGAGAGAAAUAGAGAGAGAGGGAGGGAGGAAGAAAAAGAGGGAGGGGAGUCUAUCGGAGGGGCCGCCGGAGGUUCGUUGGAGGGCAGCCAUGGCCGUCGGACGGCGGAAAGGGCUCCCGCGGCUCCGCGCGGGGAACAGGGCCGAUCCGCCCAUGUUUCUUGAGUUUUUUUUUUAAAAAAAGCCUUUUCAAAGUGAAGUCGGCCCCCUGUUCCUCGCGCAGAGCCACGGGAGCCCUUUCCGCCGCCCGACGGCCACGGCUGCCCUCCGAUGGUCCCUUCGAUGGAUUCUCCUCCCUCUUUUUCUUCAUUCCUCUCUCUCUCUAUUUCUCUCUCUCUCUCUUUUUCUUCUCCGGUUCGUCCGUGUUUUCCUUCGUCGGUUCGCCUCGGUUCGGAAUGGAACGAAGGCGUGCCGUACCGUACCGCCGGCCGGCCGUUCCGGCCACCGGUACCGGUUCCGCCGACCUUGGCUGUGAAUCCUUGUUUUUUUUCCUUUUUAUGGCUUGGGGGUUAAAAUCAGCUGCUGAAGGCUUUGGUGGUGUUUAGAGUUAUGCAUGUGUAUAUGAAUGCCCAGUAUGCCAAAAUAAUAUUUUAGUUCUUAGGUAUUUUGCUAUAUGUUUCAAGAUAUCACCUGAUACAAUAAGAAUUAUACUAGUUUGCUCUUCUUAUUAUACUAUCUGUUCAAUUUUGCAAGACCUUGGCAUUUCACCAAUUUUUCGACCUUCUCAUGCCCUAUGUUCAUGCUUACUGUUCUUUGAGUCUAUGUAGUAGUCAAUGGGUUCGUGCUUAUUGCUUCUAAGCUCUACAUUUAACAGUUUUUUUCACAAAAAAAAAAGUUAUCAAAUUUUCUCAUGGGGACAAUACGUAACAUCUUAUCUAAAUCAAUACCUUAAGUAUAUGCACUUACCAGACCAUUUUGUGUAAAAUAUAUGCUGACUUGGCUUCUACAGCAAUAUAUCAAUCCUUCAUGAGGGAGUUAUAUAUUAAAGUACUAUCGGUCUGCAUCACUCUUUAUUAUAACUUAUUAAAAUAUUGAAUGGUACACAGUGUUAUGUUUUGACUAUAAGAUUUAUGUUGAUAUGAUGCUGAUUUAUACUUGGGAGUAACGGUAUGGUGUUGUAUACAUGGAAUCAUGCUGUUAUCACAGAAAUAAUCCAUGUAUAACAGAAUUCAUGAAGCUUGAUUUGUUUAUAAGAAUAAGUAAUUUUUGAGUUCCAAAAUGUAUAUUUUCAUUGCAGUAAAGUAGUCCGAUGUAGUUUAUAUCUGAAAAAAAGGUUAAUGUGGUAACAUUUCUGAAAAAAGUUUAUACCUAUAUUGUAGCUAUGUUCGUUUUUUUGUUGGAUGCCUAAAAAUUCAAGGUCAAUAGGCUGUUUAGUUGGUGUUAUAAUUCUUUCAUUGAAAAGCUACUGGUUCAUCUUGAGGUAGGCGAGUUUGGUAAUAUGCUUAAUUCAUUAUUGAGCAUAAUUUUGUGAAAAAAAUAAAAUCAAAACUAAAAAUUAAAAUCAAAACUAAGUCCUUUCUGAAAAAAAAUUAUCACAAUUAAUUUUAUUCCUUCCAAAAUCAAGAGCCCCUGACAAACAGGCCACCUCAUUCACUGUGGUUGCCACCCUGCUCUGCCCCUAGCCCACUGGUCUACAUUAUCUUCUUUCUGGCCUCUCUUUCCCUCUUCUCUUACUGCUGUUUCUCAAGUCUAUUCUGAUUACACUUCCCUCUAUCCCUUCUUCCAUCUCUUUUCUUUUGUUUUUCUCUUCUCUUUUAUAAUUUUUUAUUCAUUAUAUGGAAAAUGACUCUGUAUGGCAUUGCCUCCCUUGCUUUCCCCAAAAAAGAGUUCCUUUUUCUAACUGCAUUUUAAUGAGCAAAGGCUGUAUAACCAGCCUUGUAACAUUUUUUUUGUCCAUGGUUAAUUUUUGGGGAAAGAUUAUAGGUGCUAGGAUGGCAGCUGUGCGUUCUGAUGGGUGCCUAUAGUUUGAGGCAUUUGGAAAAAAAAAGAAAAGAAGAAAGAUACAAAAAUCUAAGUAUUUCUUUUGAGCAUUCAAAAAAGGAGAGAAUUAAAAUUAUAAUUGUUCUUCAUUCUUUGGUCAAGCAAUACUGCAAUAGUAUCUGCCACUGCUAAUGGCAGCCACCACAACCACACUGUCCACAGCAUCAUUGACUGCCACUUCUGCCUCCAUUAGCUUCUGGCGGUCUUUACCUGCAGCAGCUGUGGUUACUUGUGCCAAGGUACUUGAUGCUAGCCAGGGGGGCUGGCCGAUAGGCUGCCCUAGUACUAGGAAAUAUGUUCAGUGGGCCUUGGCCUAUGUUGGGCACUUAGGUGGUUGCCUCAGCCUUUUUUAGAACAUGGCCAUACUAGGUUAAAGCAUCCCAUGCUUUUCAGAGACCUCCAAUAAAGUUAGAGUUAAGCAUCAUGAUCUGUUAAAAGAUAAAAUUUGGAUCUUAAUUAAGUGAUUGCAGUAGCCAAAUUAGUACAACCUCAUUCAUUUUGAAAUUUUUAUGAAUUUUAACAAGUUGAUGGCAUUACUUACCCAAACCUAGACAUAGCAAUAUAUCUAUGCUAGGACUUCGAGGUUCUUGCAAUACCAGUCCAUUCCUAGAAUGAGCAUACCUAAUUCUUGUAUUUAUAUUAUAGUAAUAUAGAGAUUUGAAAGUAUGAGAGAACCAAUGAAGGCACAAUUAACUACAUUCAUCUCUUAUUGGACAUUGCAUGUGGACAUUAUAGAACAAAUGGGUAAAAUUAUAAUUACCAGACAAAUACAGUGAUAGUAGGACUAUUUUUGGUGCAGGGUCUAUAUCUCAUUCAUCGAGAACAUGAGCAUGGCUUACUUAUAGUGACCUUAUGUUGUAAGUCAUAUGAGCUACAUGUGUCACGCCCCGAACCGAGUAUAUGACAGAUGCCACAUACCUGCAGGUUGGGCCGUACAAGCAUGCAAGGCUACAAAUCACAACAUAACAUUUCAUCAUAAUAAUAAUAAGCCUUUAAUUCUCAAAAUCAAUUAAAAACAAUUAAAUCCUUUUUACAUAGCAAAUAUCUUUAUGCAACAUAAAUCAUAAUGUUUCAUUUAAAUAAAAUAUCCAAACAAAGUCAAACUGAGCUAGAAAUCUAGAAAAUUCGAAUAUUUCCAAAAGAUCUAGCGCACUCACCCUUAUCCAAGGUAGUUAUGAUUCAGCAUCUGAAAAAAAGAAAAUAAAAAAAGAAUAAUGAGUUAUACUAGCCUAGUAAACAACAUAACAUAUCACAAUGGGGUCUAAGCAUGCUAAGAAAGAUAAAUCACAUGUUAUUGACUGGGAGGAGUAAAUCUCAACUAACACAUAUUUCUUUGAAAAUAAUUAUUUUCAUAUACUGAUACUGAACUCAACAUCAAGUUACAGCCACGUAAGCCAGUGAUAUGGGUCUGAUAAUAGAAACACGUUGCAUAGAGUGCCAGAUAAUAGAUACCACUGUUCUAAUCACCGGUGGCUCGAUGUCGAAACUAGUUUCUCGGAUUACAAGUUGACAGGUCCAACGUAUAAUCCCUAUUGGCGGGGCCACGUCAUAGCCAUGUCGAGAACAUGCAUAUAAAAGCAAUUUCACAAAUUCCCAGUCAAGUUUCUCAAAUAUAUUUCUCAAAAUAAAUCAUAUAUUUGAAACAAAAUAUUUUCGUGAAUAAAACAUUACAUGCUUGACUUAUUUAUUAAAUUGAAAACUGAGAGCAUAAAUCAAACAACUAAUUUUAAUUUUCAAAAGAUCAUUCGAAAACACACUUGAAGCGUUAGGUCACUGGUCAUACUUCAAAAUCCGGCUUCAAUUAGAUAGGUUGACUUCACCUAUUCAAUGCCAUCAAUAAUUAAUUAAUUAAUUAUCAAUGACUUAAAAUUCUUAACAAAUUAAGAAAUCUCGAAGAACCUAGAUGAAUUAUAUUAAGGGCAUUCAAAUCUAUAAGGAUCUAAUAAAACUCGGGUGGGAGUCAGUGUACUAUCUGACGGUCAUGGGUCAAAGCCCCUGUGCCUAAAAUAAUUCGAUUUACAAGAGAUAGAUUUUGAGUCAAUUAUCCUCUUAGGAGAGAAAAGAGACAUGAGAAGAGAGAAGAAUAUCAAACAAGACAAACAAGAGAGAGAUUAGAGAAAAAAAUUUUAGAGAGAUAAAAUAAAACUUCUAGAGAGAGGCAGGAUUCAGAGUUAGAGCAAGGAGAGAUGAAAGAGAGAGAAACUCUCUGUUUUCUUAUUUUUUUCUUUUUCUUUCAUUUUCUUUUUUUCCUUGUUCACGGGAGCAGAGGACCCAUGCGGUCCUUUUCCUUUUUUUUCUUUCAUGGAGCAGGGGAGUGCUUCUCCCCCCUUUUUUCUGAGCCAGGACGGCAACCACCCCCACUGACAACCCUCAAGGCUGCAGGGGCAGUCCCCAACGAUACCAACCGGCUAGAUCCGAUGACCGACGGCGACAAGUGGUGACGGAAAAAAAACGAAACAAAAUAGAAAAAUAAGAAACUUGGAAAACAAUGAUUUUUGAAGGGAUUUUCAGCAGAAAACUCAGCAAAAUCCAAAAUAAAAACCCCUAAAAGAUUGAUGGAAUAAGAUGGAAGAGAUUUUACUUGAUUUGGAUGGGGUUUGACUCAAUUUUCGGCGGCUAAAAGAAGAUUAAUCCAUCAGCAAAUAGGAUGAAAGGAGGGAAGAAAAUCAACAAUUAACCAAUGAUUUUUGUGAGGAAAAACCCAGGAGAUUGAGGCCUUUAAAUAGGCCUCAAACAGGGAGGAAUUAGGGUUGGAAUUAACCUCUAAUCCUAAGGAUUUUAGGAAUUUGAAUUGGAGAAGAACUCCUUCGGGAGUUCUUCUGUGUAUUUCGCUCUACGCUAACCAAUUUCAUUUUUUUUUUUGCUGCUUUGAGAUUUAUAAUAUGGGAUUUGGGUAUUACAUCCUUCCUAAAAAGAAAUUUUGUCCUUGAAAUUUAGUGUUCCUUAAUUGGAAAAAAGUUUUGGAUAUUUCUCCUUCAUCUCAUCCUCGAACUUUCAAGUAGCCUCACGUUCGAUGUGAUUACUCCACUGAAUCUUGACGUAUUGAAUCGUGCUCCUUCUUAAAACUUGUUCCUUCCUGUCAACAAUACGUAUGGGCUGCUCAUUGUAAGACAUAUCUUCUCUAAGCUGUAAAGGUGCCAAAUCUACCGCAUGGCUUGCAUCUGGAAUGUACUUUCUUAACAUACAAACAUGAAAUACAUCGUGAACUCCUGUUAGCAAGGGUGGAAGUGCCAAUUUAUAUGCUACAGCUCCAAUCCUUUCCAAAAUCUCAAAGAGGCCCACAUAUCGAGGAUUGAGUUUUUCACGAACUCCAAAUCGCAUUACCCCUUUAGAGGGAGAUACUCUAAAAAAUACAUGAUCUCCAAUCUGAAAUUUUAAUUUUUGCCUUCUAUUAUCUGUAUAACUUUUAUGUCUAUUCUGAGCUAUCUGAAGGCGUUCUCUGAUUAAUUGGAUCUUUUCAAUUGUUUGCUGAAUAAUCUCUGGGUCCAUCAGUUUUCUUUCCCCCAUGUCAUCCCAACAGAUGGGUGAUCUGUAGUUCCUUCCAUAAAGGGCUUCAUAAGGAGCCAUCUGAAUACUUGCUGAUAACUGUUAUUAUAAGCAAACUCGAUCAGAAGCAAGUGACGAUCCCAAAAACCUCCCAUAUCUAUUACACAAGCUCUUAACAUAUCCUCCAAAAUUUGAAUAAUUCUUUCUGACUGGCCAUCAAUUUGAGGGUGGAAGGCGGUACUAAAGCUAAAAGUAGUUCUCAAAGCUUUAUGCAGACUUUUCCAAAAAUGCACCACAGAUUGUGAGUCCCUAUCAGAGACAAUAUAUAUAGGAACUUCAUGCAACCUCACAUCUGCUCAAUGUAAAGUUCUGCAAGCUUUUCUAAUGUCAUGCCUGUUUUGAGUGCCAAAAGGGGAGUUGAUUUGUCAAUCUAUCUACAAUUACCCAUAUGGCAUCAUAACCUUUGGCAGUAUGGGGUAGCCUAGAUACAAAGUCCAUCGUAAUAUGCUCCCAUUUUCAUUUAGGAAUAGGAUGGGGUUGCAACAAUCCUGUUGACCUCUGGUGUUCUACUUUUACUUGCUGACAUGUCAUACAUUGUGCCACGAACAGUGCAAUCUCUCUCUUCAUGUUAUUCCAUCAAAAUAUAUUCUUCAGAUCCUUAUAUAUCUUGGUGCUUCCAGGGUGCAUUGUAUAUCCUGUGUUGUGAGCUUCCUCCAUAACUUCUCUUUUCAACUUAGAAUUAUUUGAAAUACAAAUCUUGUUAUUAUUUAAUCUUAAUGAUCCAUCCUCAUGAAUACUAAACUUUGUCUGGGAACCUGACUCGACAUUGCUUCUAAUCUUUUGUAGUUGAGGAUCCUCUACUUGUGCAACCUUGAUUCUAUCUAUUAAAGUAGGCUUGACAUGCAAGUUAGCCAAUUGCACAUUAGGAUUAUGCAGACGGACUUCAAUCUCUGCUCAUCUCAAAUCUUCCAAAAUGCUUCUUUAAGAGGUGAGUAAAGAGGCUAUGCUACUCGAAGAUUUUCUGCUUAGUACGUUAGCCACCACAUUAGCUUUUUGCAGACGGUAUUGUAUAGAUAGAUCAUAAUCUUUGAGCAAUUCUAACCAUCUCCUUUGUCUCAUAUUAAGUUUCUUUUGAGCAAAAGGAUAUUUCAAGCUUUUAUGAUCAGUAUACACUUCACAAGAUUCACUGUAUAGAUAAUGUCUCCAAAUUUUGAAUGCAAAUACGAUGGCUGCCAAUUCAAGAUCAUGGGUAGAGUAGUUUCCUCAUAAGAUUUUAGUUGUCGAGAGGCAUACGUGAUUACCUUGCCAUUCUAUAUUAGUACGCAAUCUAGUCCCUUCUUUGAAGCAUCACUAUAAAUAGUGAAAUCUCUAACACUAGAAGGAAGGGUAAGAAUAGGGGCUGUUAUCAAAUGUUGCUUUAGCUCUUGAAAACUCUGUUCACAUUCUUCUGACCACUCAAACUUAACUCCUUUAUGAGUUAGUAGAGUCAAAGGUGCAGCAAUACAAGAGAAACUCUCUACAAAACGUCUAUAAUAUUCAGCUAACCCCAAGAAACUACAAAUUUCAGAGAUGCUGUUUGGUCUGCUCCAGUUCACCGCUGCCUCUACCUUCAUUGGAUCUACAUAAAUACCCUCUUUAGACACUACAUGCCCCAAGAAUAUCACAUUGUCUAGCCAAAACUCACUUUUCUUCAAUUUAUCAUAUAACUGUUUCUGUCUUAGAGUUUCUAGAACAAGGCUCAAGUGUUGCUCAUGCUCUGCUUGGCUUCUGGAGUAAAUCAAGAUAUCGUCAAUAAAGACAACCAUAAACUUGUCUAGAAAAUGUUUAAAUACUUUAUUCAUCAGGUCCAUAAAAGCUGCUGGAGCAUUUGUCAACCCAAAGGGCAUGACUAAGAAUUCAUAGUGCCCGUAUGGCGUGCGGAAAGCUGUCUUGGGCACAUCCUCAGCUUUUAUCUUGAAUUGAUGGUAUCCAAAAUGAAGAUCAAUCUUAGAGAAUAUCUGAGCACCUUUUAACUGAUCAAAAAGAUCAUCGAUCCUGGGCAAUGGAUAUUUAUUCUUUAUUAUUACUUUGUUUAUCUCCUGAUAAUAAAUAUAUAACCUCAUACUGCCAUCCUUUUUCUUUAUGAACAAUACUGGAGCUCUCCAAGGGGAAAUGCUAGGUCUGAUGAAGUCUUUAUCAAGAAGAUCUUGCAAUUGCUCCUUCAAUUCCUUCAUCUCAGCAGGAGCCAUUCUAUAUGGAGCUUUGGAGAUUGGUGCUGUAUCGGGAAUCAACUUGAUUGCAAACUCAACUUCUCUAUCUGGAGGCAAUCCAGGAAGAUCUUCCGGAAAAACAUCAGGAUAUUCAUUUACCACAAGAAUAUCUUCAAGUUUCUGAUUCUUUUGUUUAGUAUCAGACAGUAUGGCUACAUACACCCUACACCCCUUCCUGAGUAGUCAUGUAAUUUGCAAUGUAGAAAUAACUUGAGGGGAAGUGUAGGCGCCCUUGCCAAUAAAAUUGAAACUUCUAUCAUCAGGAAUUUGAAAAUUCAUCCAUUUCUCAUAGCAAUCAAUAGUGGCAAGAUGUGAUGCCAACUAAUCCAUACCCAAAAUAUAUCGAAAUCAUGAAUAUCAAUGACUACCAAAUCUGCAGUCAAUUUUCUGCCCUCUAUCUGAAUUGAACAAGAUUUGUAGAUUCGAUUGGAGAUCAUCUUACCCCCAACAGGGGUGCUAAUAUAUAAAUUAGACUCCCAAUGGCGCAUAGGGUAUAUUAUGCUUUUGAACAAAUAUAGAAGACACAAAAGAGUGUGUAGCACCAGAAUCAAAUAACACAUGAGCAUAAACAGAUGAGAGUAAUAAUAUACCUGAUACCACGAUGUUGGAUGCCUGAGCAUCCUGCUGAGUCAAUGCGUAAAUGCGGCCCUGAGUGUGUGGUUUUCCACCCUUUUGUUGUCCUGAAGAUAAACCCUGAAUUGGUUGAGUCGAAGUAGUAGGGGUCAGAAUUAUAGAAGUUUGCAUCGACUGGGUCCUCAUGGCCUGAGGUUUAUGAACUGAUUGGGACUCCUAAAGAAUUUGAGGGCGCUCGGCUAUUUUAUGGCCUUGUUGACCACAUUUGAAACAAGCACCGGUUGUCCAUCUACAGUUUUCUGUCUUAUGAACACCACCAUAUGCUUCGCGCUUAGGCUUGUCUUGCUGAGUUGUUUUUUCAUAAGAUCCUUGCUUCCUAGAAUGCCAAGACUUAGCAUGAGAUUUUGUAGAUCCAUCAGAAUUUUGAGCAUUUAUAUCUCUACUCUUCUUUUGCUUGCCUCCCAUAGCAUCAUAGGUUUCUUUCCAAAUAAUCUCCAUAUUCUUAGCCCUAUCGACCAAAUCAUCAUAGUUUUUUGAGAGUACUGCAGCAAGGCCUCAACGUAUAUGUGGCUUCAACGCCUCUUCAAACCUGCUCAUCCUAGACGUAGCAUCCAUGACUACGGUGGGGCAGAAUUGAGAUAAUUUAUCAAACUCAGCCUCAUACUCGUCUACAGUCAUGUUACCUUGGGAUAAAUGAAGAAAUUCUCUCUCUAAUUCUCUUAAUUGGCUAGAAGGAAAAAUACUUAGAAUAGAAAGCAGUGCGGAACUUUUGCCAGGUAACUAGCUCAUAAUCAUUUGCCAAUGUGCGCUCUACAGACUUCCACCAAUGAUGGGCUUUAUUUUGAAGCAUAUAAGUGGCAAAUCUAACCUUUUCCUCAUCAGUACAUUCCAUUGCCCUGAAAGCUUUCUCCAUCUCAUCUAUCCAGGCCUCAACCUCAUAAGGAUUUGUAGUACCUUUAAAUGCCGAAGGAGCCAUUUUUCUGAAUUCUGAUAUACCCCUCCUAUGCUCAACUGGACCACCAGCAUCAGGCUGCUCUCAUUGUAAAGGCUGCUGAGGUUGCUGUCUCUAUUGAUGUACCAAUCCUACCACCUCCUCAAUUAAUUCGAGAACUGGUGCUUCAUUUCCAACAAUCGGUUGAUUUGCUAUUGAUGGACCAACCCUCACUUCUUGGUGAGUACUUGGGGUGACAUUUUUACAUUCUUGACUUGGUGGUGCCUCAGUCACUCAAUUAGUAGGGAUUCCAUCUUGAGAGCCCCCAACGAUCUCAUUAAUACUUCGUCUUUGGGCACGUUAAGACAGCAUUUUGAUUUAGUAAGACAAACAUUAAAAACUACUUUCAAACAAAAUAUCACAAAAUCAUUAAUAAGAGAGCAAGCAAAGAUGUUUGUUGCCUAAUUUCUACCCAACUCUCA